CAGAGACACUGAUAACCUGGUGAUGGAAUCUAGGAGUUCAGGCAAGAUGCUGGUACAGUAGCAAUAAACCCAUCAGCUUCCUGGAACAAAACUUCAGCCAAAGGGUUACAUACUUUUCAUUAUCUCAGAAGGUGUAUUUACUUGAUGGCAUCCAUUAUGAGACCCCAGGCGCUGGUCUCAUAGCUAAUGUCAAACUCAAAACUUGACUAGGAGUUCAAGACAGCUUACACAAGGAUCAUGCUGCCCAGAAUCACUGUUACGAGAUAGAUGGUGAUAUAAAUUGUUUAAAAUAAAUACAUAAAAAUUUAUA